rnacentral:rRNA from 1 species
AUGAACGCUAGCUACAGGCUUAACACAUGCAAGUCGAGGGGCAGCAUGGUCUUAGCUUGCUAAGGCCGAUGGCGACCGGCGCACGGGUGAGUAACGCGUAUCCAACCUGCCUUACACUCUUGGACAGCCUUCUGAAAGGGAGAUUAAUACAAGAUGUUAUCAUGAGUAAGCAUUUUCGCAUGAUUAAAGGUUUACCGGUGUAAGAUGGGGAUGCGUUCCAUUAGAUAGUAGGCGGGGUAACGGCCCACCUAGUCUUCGAUGGAUAGGGGUUCUGAGAGGAAGGUCCCCCACAUUGGAACUGAGACACGGUCCAAACUCCUACGGGAGGCAGCAGUGAGGAAUAUUGGUCAAUGGACGAGAGUCUGAACCAGCCAAGUAGCGUGAAGGAUGAAGGUUCUAUGGAUUGUAAACUUCUUUUAUACGGGAAUAAACGGAUCCACGUGUGGAUUUUUGCAUGUACCGUAUGAAUAAGGAUCGGCUAACUCCGUGCCAGCAGCCGCGGUAAUACGGAGGAUCCGAGCGUUAUCCGGAUUUAUUGGGUUUAAAGGGAGCGUAGAUGGGUUGUUAAGUCAGUUGUGAAAGUUUGCGGCUCAACCGUAAAAUUGCAAUUGAUACUGGCAGUCUUGAGUACAGUUGAGGUAGGCGGAAUUCGUGGUGUAGCGGUGAAAUGCUUAGAUAUCACGAAGAACUCCGAUUGCGAAGGCAGCUUACUAACCUGUAACUGACAUUGAUGCUCGAAAGUGUGGGUAUCAAACAGGAUUAGAUACCCUGGUAGUCCACACGGUAAACGAUGAAUACUCGCUGUAGGCGAUAUACAGUCUGCGGCCAAGCGAAAGCAUUAAGUAUUCCACCUGGGGAGUACGCCGGCAACGGUGAAACUCAAAGGAAUUGACGGGGGCCCGCACAAGCGGAGGAACAUGUGGUUUAAUUCGAUGAUACGCGAGGAACCUUACCCGGGCUUAAAUUGCAACCGAAUAUGGCGGAAACGCUAUAGCUAGCAAUAGCGGUUGUGAAGGUGCUGCAUGGUUGUCGUCAGCUCGUGCCGUGAGGUGUCGGCUUAAGUGCCAUAACGAGCGCAACCCUUGCCGAUAGUUACUAACAGGUCAUGCUGAGGACUCUGUCGGGACUGCCAUCGUAAGAUGUGAGGAAGGUGGGGAUGACGUCAAAUCAGCACGGCCCUUACGUCCGGGGCUACACACGUGUUACAAUGGGGGGUACAGAGGGCUGCUACCACGCAAGUGGAUGCCAAUCCCAAAAACCUCUCUCAGUUCGGAUUGAAGUCUGCAACCCGACUUCAUGAAGCUGGAUUCGCUAGUAAUCGCGCAUCAGCCACGGCGCGGUGAAUACGUUCCCGGGCCUUGUACACACCGCCCGUCAAGCCAUGGGAGCCGGGGGUACCUGAAGUGCGUAACCGCAAGGAGCGCCCUAGGGUAAAACUGGUGACUGGGGCU